AUUUAGAUGAGGCGGGAUCUCCAUUUUCAUGCUUUUUGCAAAGGCCACGAAACCUUGCGUUGGAGAGCAGAGUGAAAAGAGAGAAGCCUACAGAAGGUAAAUCUUCAACGUUUAUUUCAAAUAAAAUGGGGAAGUCAGUCGAGCCCCCGGAGCGCCGAGCGGAUUACAGGUGGGAAGGCACCUGGUCGCCCGUUUCCAUCACUCUGGGGUGACAGGAAUAGGGGCGGCGACAGGAGGGUGCGAACUGCCCGUCCAGCACAUGUGACGUCAAAGCCACUGACAUGGUUAUUCCUGCAUUUGCCGGCAUUCCCCCGAGGUCAAAGGGACCCCGCAGAGGUUACCUCAGUGCCAAAGGGAGGCAGUGUUUUGUGCGGUGGGCGCUCUCCUGGGGCUGGUGACAGAUGGCUGCCAGCCCGGUGAUGGUCACACACCCACUGGCUGAUCUUGGCUAGGUCCUUGGUCCCCACACCCGCCUCCCCCGCACGCGUGCAUCCUGACGUGUAAGACGAGGAACACGGGCACUGGGGCUGGACAGACUGGGAUUUCCGGCCUUGGGACUGUUGCUGGCUGCCGAGCUCCAGGAGCGCUUCAUGAAGAGAACAGCCCCCCCCACCCCCCCACCUGGCGUGAGGCACCGUGGUGCACACUCUGCAUGCACACUAGCUCACUACCACCCUGUGCCGUGGUUGCUGUGGGAAGCUUCCCCGUCUCACAAAUGAGGAAGCUGAGACAGGCGGAGCUCACGAAAUCAGCGCGAUGCCCCCCAACUGGAAAGGGACAGGGCUGGGAUGGUACACGGGUCUGCGCCCUUGACUGCCCCGAGCGGCCUCUCCACAGCCCCUUGGCCUCCACGGUGACUGAUGACUGUAUCAGUGCCUCUCUCGACAUUUGCGAGACGAUCAGAGAUCAUCGUAACGUGCCCGGCAUGCAGUAGGUGCUUAGACGGGGCGUCCAGAUGUCGUGGACGCAGCUCCCUCGGGGGCCUUGUGCAGAAGAGCCGAGCGAGUUGUCACCUCAAAGGUUCAGACAUGCAUGACGGUCCCACCUGCCAAAGGAAACACUGACGUCACCCCCAGGGACAAAAGGAUUCUGGCUCAGUGUUUUUCAUGGGACCAGGAAGCAAAGAACCAGAGCUGGGCUGUGGAUGAGGGGGCCAGCAGGCUGGAAAGAGGGUGCCAAGCUCCCCACCGCCCCCAGAGACAGGACAGCUCCUCAGACCACUGCCUGCCGUCUCCACCACUUCUGUCGGGAGCGGAGCAGGUAGGAAACAGGCCUCUGGGAGCCCUCGGACGUAGAUCCCUAAGAAACGGGGUUCUCCUCACAGGUGGGAAACCUGAGGCGCUAAGGGCAAGGUGGGCCCACAGGGUUGAAUAUGUGCCCUCCCCUCCCUUCCCCUUGGUUUUACUUUCCUGAACUCAAUUUUUAAAAAGCAUUUGCCGUUGUCCUUCUCAUCCAAGCAAGGUCAUCGGCCAGCUUGGCCACAUGACUCAGCCCCUCUGCCCCCCUGCGGGGUUAAGGACAGGGAGCCAGGCCUGAGGCGGACGCUGCUGGGCAGGUGCUCUGGGAUUCAGUGGAAUCCCCUGCCUUGGCUGGUGGGUCCAAAACUCACAGUGGGUGUGCGAGCCUUUCAUCGUGCCUGGCAUGCACGCAGGCCCCUCACGGUGGCGACCUCCGUGCCGGGCGUGACUCUGACUGUGGGUGUCCGGUCACAUGUCAGUCUUGGGACUCAGGCCCCUCCCAGGACACCCGUGUCUGUCUUCAGUGCCCUCCAUCUGCUUUCCCGUUCUUCUUCCAUGCAGCCAGAACCUGUCUUGUCCCCUGACACCGAGGUAAAUGUUGGUGAAAUGUGGUCACCACAGUCAGCAGGGGUAGGUCCCUGGCCUUGCGGAGUAGGGCAGGGGAAAGCCUGGGGGCUGGAGCACCAGGGAGGAGCCCCCGAAAGUUCCUUGAAUGGAGUGGGUCCCUGAGGGUGUAAGGAGGCCUGCAGAUCAGCUUCCUUCCCCGAGUCUCUGGGGAGCAGACAUCUCGGCAGCGGCUCCUCACCCACAUUCCCUGUCAUUGAAUAAUUGGACUUAACCUCCCUUCAUCCCCCAAAAAGGUGCUAUCUCACUGCAGCUCAGAAGAACAUUCCAUCCAGCCCCGGGGAAGGAAUUUAUAAAUAUUACCAUAGGAUUUCGCCAAGCCGCUCAUAAAUCAGUGCUCGGGGCUCCUGGACCUCCCAGAGGAUAUAAAGCUCCUCCUCUGCCUCCUGUGUUUCCAAUUUUAAGUCAAACACAGCCCAGCCCUGUUGGCUCCUGUUGAUCCUCACGGAUUCCAGGGGCCUGUUCAAAGGCUCCCCGAACCAGCCAGCUAAAAAUGACUCUGUUGUUCUCGUUGGAGAAAUUUAAAAUGAAAACUCAUGCAUGAGGUAGACUGCCCCAGGAUGAAUGGAAGCCAUGGGGAUCCAGGGUGUGUCUCUCCACCAAAAAACAAAGCACAAGCAAACAUGCAAAUGAUCUCUAAGAAAGCUCUGGGCACAGCCCACCUGCAGACCUCCCACCAUCCUGCUGUUCUGGUGGGUGUCAGGCAGGAGGCUGGCCCCACCCAGAGGUGGCAAGGUAGAGCCCUUCCCGGGCCCUCCUGCCAGGAGCUGGGUGCUGGGGGCAGGGAGACUGAAGGCUAAAUGUUGGGAGGGCCCAGGCUGUCUCAGCUCAGCACAUGGUGCUGCCCCGCAGGGCUGGGGAAACUGGGGAAAUCCGUGCAAGCCCACCAGCCAUGUGCGAAGCUUACCCCCCUUCGUCCCCACCGAGCUGGUCUCAUCUCCUGGCCGUUGCGUGUCCUGCAGACUCUAGUUUGGAGGGCUUUCCCAUGAUAGAAGGACAGCUCUCCCUGAGGGCAUGCUUCCACACCUCCCUGGGGACCAGGACCCUGUGAGAUGCCCACCCUGUGCUGCACUAGCUCAUUUCAUCCUCAGAACGGGUGGGUGUGGCAGCUACAUCUAUUAGCCCAUUUUAGAGAAGGGAAGAUUGAGACCUCAAUAGUUUAAAUAGGGGCUCCUGGGUGGCUCAGUCGUUAAGCGUCUGCCUUCGGCUCAGGUCGUGAUCCCAGGGUCCUGGGAUCG